GGCAACGGCGUUCGAAGUUCGUUCGACGUUCGACAGAUCUUUAAUUAAGAGUUUUCGCUUAAUAUUCGUUUAUUUUACGAAUUGAUCAAGUUAAAAGACGAUAAUCUUCCAUCUGAUUGUCGGAGUAGGAAAAAAAUUAGGAAAAUUUCUUAAGAGAACGGUUUGAAAAAUGAAGAAAAGAACUUUGGGAGCGACGAGUAAACGUCGACAUACGAAAGAAAUGUCCACCGAGCAUGAAGACCUAUGUAACAUACAAAAAAAGAAUCGGAAAUUAUUAAAGGAAUGUGAAGGGUCUCUUUCAACUGUAGACAUAGAUAAAGAAAUAUAUCCUUGGUAUAAUUAUAAACCAGAUAUGACUGCAUUGAAACAAUGGUCAGAACGUUUAAAAAAUGAAAGGAAAGUCAAAA